rnacentral:rRNA from 1 species
GAUGAACGCUAGCUACAGGCUUAACACAUGCAAGUCGAGGGGUAACGAGAGGAAAGCUUGCUUUCCUUGUCGACGACCGGCGCACGGGUGAGUAACGCGUAUCCAACCUGCCCCCAACUAAGGAAUAACCUUGCGAAAGUAAGACUAAUACCUUAUAAUUUCCUCAGAUGUCAUCUGACGAGGAAUAAAGAUUUAUCGGUUGUGGAUGGGGAUGCGUCUGAUUAGCUUGUUGGCGGGGUAACGGCCCACCAAGGCAACGAUCAGUAGGGGUUUGGAGAGGAAGGUCCCCCACAUGGGAACCGGGACACGGUCCAAACUCCUACGGGAGGAAGCAGUGAGGAAUAUUGGUCAAGGGGCGGAAGCCUGAACCAGCCAAGUAGCGUGCAGGAUGACGGCCCUAUGGGUUGUAAACUGCUUUUAUACAGGAAUAAAGUUAGCCACGUGUGGUUAUUUGUAGGUACUGUAUGAAUAAGGACCGGCUAAUUCCGUGCCAGCAGCCGCCGUAA